rnacentral:rRNA from 1 species
UUCUAAGGGCGUUGAAGCAUGAUCGCAAGGACAUGUGGAGCGCUUAGAAGUGAGAAUGCCGGUGUGAGUAGCGAAAGACGGGUGAGAAUCCCGUCCACCGAUUGACUAAGGUUUCCAGAGGAAGGCUCGUCCGCUCUGGGUUAGUCGGGUCCUAAGCUGAGGCCGACAGGCGUAGGCGAUGGAUAACAGGUUGAUAUUCCUGUACCACCAUUAUUCGUUUUAAGCGAUGGGGGGACGCAGUAGGAUAGGCGAAGCGUGCUGUUGGAGUGCACGUCCAAGCAGUGAGAUUGAGUGUUAGGCAAAUCCGGCACUCUUAAGAUUGAGCUGUGAUGGGGAGAGGAACUUGUUCCUCGAGUCGUUGAUUUCACACUGCCGAGAAAAGCCUCUAGCUAGAAUAACGGUGCCCGUACCGCAAACCGACACAGGUAGUCAAGAUGAGAAUUCUAAGGUGAGCGAGCGAACUCUCGUUAAGGAACUCGGCAAAAUGACCCCGUAACUUCGGGAGAAGGGGUGCUCUUUGAGGUUCACGCUUCGAAGAGCCGCAGUGAAUAGGCCCAAGCGACUGUUUAUCAAAAACACAGGUCUCUGCUAAACCGUAAGGUGACGUAUAGGGGCUGACGCCUGCCCGGUGCUGGAAGGUUAAGAGGAGUGGUUAGCGCAAGCGAAGCUACGAAUCGAAGCCCCAGUAAACGGCGGCCGUAACUAUAACGGUCCUAAGGUAGCGAAAUUCCUUGUCGGGUAAGUUCCGACCCGCACGAAAGGCGUAACGAUUUGGGCACUGUCUCAACGAGAGACUCGGUGAAAUCAUAGUACCGGUGAAGAUGCCGGUUACCCGCGACAGGACGGAAAGACCCCGUGGAGCUUUACUGUAGCCUGAUAUUGAAAUUCGGUACAGUUUGUACAGGAUAGGUAGGAGCCUUAGAAGCGUGAGCGCUAGCUUACGUGGAGGCAUUGGUGGGAUACUACCCUAAUUGUAUUGGAUUUCUAACCCGCAGCACUUAUCGUGCUGGGAGACAGUGUCAGGCGGGCAGUUUGACUGGGGCGGUCGCCUCCUAAAGAGUAACGGAGGCGCUCAAAGGUUCCCUCAGAAUGGUUGGAAAUCAUUCAUAGAGUGUAAAGGCAUAAGGGAGCUUGACUGCGAGACCUACAAGUCGAGCAGGGUCGAAAGACGGACUUAGUGAUCCGGUGGUUCCGCAUGGAAGGGCCAUCGCUCAACGGAUAAAAGCUACCCCGGGGAUAACAGGCUUAUCUCCCCCAAGAGUUCACAUCGACGGGGAGGUUUGGCACCUCGAUGUCGGCUCAUCGCAUCCUGGGGCUGUAGUCGGUC